rnacentral:rRNA from 1 species
GGACCCGCACAAGCGGUGGAACAUGUGGUUUAAUUCGAUGCUACGCGAAAAACCUUACCAAGUCUUGACAUGUUAGUCGUAUGACUAGGAAACUAGUCAGUCAGUUCGGCUGGACUAUCACAGGUGUUGCAUGGCUGUCGUCAGCUCGUGUCGUGAGAUGUUGGGUUAAGUCCCGCAACGAGCGCAACCCUUAUCUUUAGUUGCCAACAGGUUAUGCUGGGAACUUUAAAGAAACUGCCAAUGGAGAAUUGGAGGAAGGCGAGGAUGAUGUCAAGUCAGUAUGGCCCUUAUGACUUGGGCUACACACGUGUUACAAUGGUAGCUACAGUAUGAUGCAAUAGGGCGACCUGGAGCAAAUCUAUAAAAGCUACCUCAGUUCGGAUUGCACCCUGCAACUCGGGUGCAUGAAGUUGGAAUCGCUAGUAAUCG